AUUGAACGCUGGCGGCAUGCCUUACACAUGCAAGUCGAACGGCAGCACGGGAGCAAUCCUGGUGGCGAGUGGCGAACGGGUGAGUAAUACAUCGGAACGUGCCCAGUAGUGGGGGAUAGCCCGGCGAAAGCCGGAUUAAUACCGCAUACGACCUCAGGGUGAAAGCGGGGGAUCGCAAGACCUCGCGCUAUUGGAGCGGCCGAUGGCAGAUUAGGUAGUUGGUGGGGUAAAGGCCUACCAAGCCUGCGAUCUGUAGCUGGUCUGAGAGGACGACCAGCCACACUGGGACUGAGACACGGCCCAGACUCCUACGGGAGGCAGCAGUGGGGAAUUUUGGACAAUGGGCGCAAGCCUGAUCCAGCCAUGCCGCGUGCGGGAAGAAGGCCUUCGGGUUGUAAACCGCUUUUGUCAGGGAAGAAACGCUCUGGG
rnacentral:rRNA from 1 species